rnacentral:rRNA from 1 species
GACGAACGCUGGCGGCGUGCCUAAUGCAUGCAAGUCACACGCAGAGUGCUUGCACUCUGAGUGGCGCACGGCUGAGGAACACGUGGGCAUCUGCCCGUCCGUGGGGGAUAACUCGGCGAAAGCCGCGCUAACCCCGCAUACGCUCCGGCAACGGAGGAAAGCAGCAAUGCGCGGUCGGAGGAGCCUGCGGCCCAUCAGGUAGUUGGCGGGGUAACGGCCCACCAAGCCCGUGACGGGUAGCUGGUCAGUGAGGACAACCAGCCAGACUGGGACUGGGACACGGCCCAGACUCCUACGGGAGGCAGCAGCAAGGAAUUUUCGGCAAUGGGUGCAACCCUGACCGAGCAACGCCGCGUGGAGGAUGACGGCCUUCGGGUUGUAAACUCCUUUUGCGGGGGACGGCAUCGACUGUACCCCGCGAAUCAGGCUCGGCUAACUCUGUGCCAGCCGCCGCCGUAAAAC